rfam:Tyto alba contig97853, whole genome shotgun sequence.
UAAUUAUCGGGAACAGUGUUUCCCAUAAUUG